AAACACUCUCUUUUCUCUCUUCGUCGCCUCUCUGAGAAACCUAAGUUACUCGGUCCAGUGAAACGUAAGGGUUUCAUAUUCAACAAGGAAGAGAAGAAAAACUCAAUUCACAUCACCAUCAAGUAUAUCUCUACUGUAUUUUUCUACCUGGCCUCUUGGGUCUCACCUCAAUUACCUCAGAAACCCAAGCUUUUUACUUUAUCUCUUUUUACGUUUCUUCCUUCCGUGUAAUGCAGGUUUUUAAAGUAGAUUUAUAUGUCGCAGUUGAAUCAGAAAGAUGAUUGAGAGGAGUAGAAGAAGAAGGUUUUUAGGGCUUUUGUGUAUUUUAUGGCAGAUAAGUUAACAUCAACAAGACCUAAGGGCAGAAAAUUAGGAAGUAGUUAAUCAAAAUUCAAAUAAGAUCAGCUUUUAUAUAAAGUGAAAAAAUUGCAAAAGAUGACAGUGGUUUGACUGUAUGGCUUGGACGGUUUGCAGUGGACAUGCAAUUGCUCUCCAGCUGACAAGGGACUUUUAAAGGUGAACUUUGUAUUACCGAACAAUAGUAUCAAGGAUUACAACUUUGGUGGGAUUCAACACAAUCAAAAUGAGAUUCUCCAUCUAAAAAAGAGAGAUGGCUGAAAGUUCUAUUGACUGAGAGUCAACAGCUGUGAGACAAAUGAAUUAGGUUUCUAGAUUGGAUUCUGGAUGUUGAGGACUACGGGAUAUAUUACACUACCUUUAUCUCAUGAAUUUGGAUUGUAAUAAUUAGAGAUGGUUAAGGUAGAGGUAUUAAUCUUUACGGAGAUGAUUGCGACAAUGAGAUCAUGGUUGGGAAGACGUGGAAAUUCCAAAGGUGUGUUCAUAUACAUAACCAAGUUCAAUAUUGAUAAAGCAAAGCACAUAUGGGAAGAGAUGAUUGAAUGGAGGAAGGGAUUUGAUGCUGACACUGUUAGUGAGGCGAAAUACUCUAAGAUGAGAGGGUCAAUGGAGGAGCAUUCACGGGUACUGACGGUUUCCAGUUCCUAUUCAAUCUAAUACCUAUAUCAGGCAUCACUCUCAGUUAUGACUCACAAGAUAUCACCACCACUUUGAAAAGCGAAAGAUAAAUAAAGAUAAUAUACUAUAUGGGACUGGCCCGCCAGGUUCUGACUCACAAGCUAUCACCACCAAUUUGAAAAGUGAAAGAAAAAUGAAGUAUAUAUGGGGUUGGACUGCUAGGUAAAUGGACUUUAUAUUACUGUACUGUGGACUUCAUGUUGCUCAGGUUAGGAACAAAACCCUUGCCUUAUAUGCUUGAGCUGUUAGAUUGAUAAUUUUGUGGAUAUCUCUCAUAAUUAUCGUUGGAGUCAAAAUUAGAUAUUUUAGAACUUUCAGGAUUAUUAGAACUUUCAGGAUUAUAAUAGCGUAAGCUGGAAAUUUGUACGAUUUUAUUCUACAUUAGUUCGUUGUAAUCCAUGUGUCUAAGAUUUUUGUUUAGUUUGCUAGAUUGUCCAUUCAAAUUUUGAAUUUUGACAUGUUUAAUUUAUUUUAGAACAAAGUUUCAUUGACCAAAAUGGUCCAUUAAUGAAUGAGUCUGUGGCACAACGGUAGUGCGUCUGACAUCAAGUUAGAAGGUUGUGUGUUCGAUUCAUACCAGAUUCAGUCCUCUGUAGUAAUUGUUUUGUUAUUUGUACGCUUUGAACUAACUUACAAGUAGUUAUAUAAAUUACACUAAAUUGAUAUGAAUGAUAGAAGUACAGUAGUUCUUUUCCAGAUGAUGGGGAAACAUAUUUUGGCUUUGUGAUUAUUGGGUCACAAAUCAUAAGAUAUCACAAAUUAUGUGAUAUUGGCUACUUCCAUACGCCUAAUUUUCCCAUUAUAUGAUUUUGAAUUUGAUCCACUCAUCAACUAGCUACUGUGUGUGCAUGUGCAUAUUUUUAGCACUUGAGACUGCUUUUUGUACUGUGUGGAGUCGGAUGUUUGACAAGUGGAGGGAGAAGGGAAGUUCAUGAAGAAGGCAAUUAGAGAAGAUGCUAAGAUAAAUGGUAAUAUCUCAGUGAAGGUAACAAUAUUAUCAUUAUUAAUAUUCAUGUUAGUUAUAUAGAGUGCAGAACAAUAGAGACUGGAGAGUAAACACGGGUUUGCGGAUCAUGUUGGUAAAUUGUACUGCCUACUUCCUAGCAUCUAUUUUCGAAGUUAAUUUGUUUGUAACUGAAUACAUCGUGACUUGGCAGUAGCUAAUUUCAAAAUCCACGAUAAAUAUAGGUUAUUUCUACUUUGUUAAAUAGGUUGAGUUUACAGUAUAAUGAAAAAUGUAUCGAAGUGGUAUUUAUGUCUCUCCGGUAAAAAGAAUAGUGGUUGAUGGUAUGAUAACGUAGUUUUUUGACUAUCUUCAUUCGGAUUUAAGACAAUUGCAAAUCAGUUAGUCACAUAGUUUUACUUAUUCAUGAAAUUAUCAAUGCAAUUAAGAUGCUCUAUUAUUUUUAUGAAUGGUCGUACAACUAUCUCACUGCUUUACAUGAUACCAUUUGUAAUUGUUGCUGGUGUAAGGUUUGCUUUUUAUAUCAUUAUAUGAUGUUGAAUUUUAUUCUCUAAUACCUACCUAUUGUCUCUGUGUGUGUACAUGUGCAUAUUUUGGCACUAGAGUUACAAAUGAUCAGGUGCUGGGAAACCGCGAGAUGCAUGUUUAACAGUCUUCACUAAUUUGAUUAUUGCAGGAACUGAGAUGGUUAUAUAUGGAUUAUUGCAGGAACUGAGAUGGUCAUAUAUAGUAAGUUCGACACUUUGUGCAUGUUGCCACAUUGUGGGAUAUGCUUACAGGACUAUGAAUAAUCUGGCUAACAUAAUUUUUUAUGUGAAUUUGUUGCUUUAAUGUUUUCUAGGGGCACUAGGCUCCUUUAUAUGCAGUUUUUAUAUUGGUUACUGCUAAAGAAAAUUAAGUGAACACCGUAAUGAAUUUUCCCAUCCAUGAGUGGAUUGUGAAUCCAUAAUCCGCAGGUUCAAUCCCCGUCAUUCAUUCGCCCAUCAAGAAAAGGGACAGGAAAAUCCCAACUAAAGAUUUAUCUGCAAGAGUCAACUCCUUGGAUGGAUCUUCUGGAUCACAGUUCCCUAUUUUCUAUUCUUACGUGAACACCUCUGGAACCCAAAAUGCAUGUUGUAGUAAGUCAGAAAAGUAAAAUACAGAUAUGAAAAUACUACUAAUUAUGUCUUCUUAUUUUUAGGUUUCCUUCAAAUGCAGGUUUUAUAUGCUAUUGAAUCUCAACGUGAUGCUCGACUGUUUUCAUGAGGCAUUAGGUUCUUAUCUGUACAACAAUUAGGAGGUUACUCAUACAAAAAUUGAGGAGGUUAUCAUGGACAUAACACAUACGAGAGAGAUUGCUUGAUCAACCAUCCAUUUUUUGCUUUGCUGAUGAGGCAGGAGUUCCCUUUUCCUUGAUUUUUUUUCCAUGCAUGUGGUUGAAAUAUAUUUUGGACAUUUUUGGCAGGAGUUACCCCUUGCACUUGGUUUAUACUAUAUGUACGUAACACUUGGUUCCAGAUACCUAGAUUUUAAAAAGGUGGAUACUAUAAGAAAAAACCAGAUGCGUACCGAAUUGGGAAAUCUACCAUGGAAAUAAUAAUUCAAACACUGGAAAAAGAAGCUGAGAAGAGGCAAGUAUUACGCAACCUAACAUACGCUGGAUUAUUAAUUUUCAUUCUCCCAUUCGAGAUUUUAUUAUAUCAGGAGUUCUGAUCACAUUAUCAGUGGAGAUAAUUGGGGUUUCAAUGGAGAGGAGAGACACUUCCAUGGGAUAAAGGUUUUAUUCAUUGUAAGCACAGUGCAUACCUGCAUUUUUUUUUCAUUUUUCUUCUCAUAGUGUCAUCUUUAAUUUAUGUAUAGCUGAUGUUAAUUUAGUACGAUCCAUUAAUGACUCAGUCAAAAUCUCUAGGAUAAUAUUCGAUAAUGCCAUGGGUGGAGAACUUUCUCUCACAAAUUUUAUUCUUACUUAUUUGGAGCAAAAGUUGUGGCAGAGGGAAGACAGGGGGUUUCCAUAGGUAUCAUCAUUGUUAAAGACGCCUGAGGCUAGAUUCAAGUGAAAAUUAGUGUUGAAAUAUGUUAUCAGGACAUUUAUGUGUUAAUUGCGGCAUCGAUUGUCUAUCUCUAUAUGGGUUAUGUUGCCGAAUAAGCAAAAAGGAUCCCAUCAACUCUGGAUUCAGAAGGAUGGAUAAAGACUGGGAGAUCUAUGAUAUGUCAACGAUAAGGGUUGUCUUUAUGUUUUAGAUAUGCAUAGGCUUAAAGAAUUGGCCAAGCAUGAGGAAUACGAUCUACGUAGUUACGGAACUGAAUCAAUUAACACAUCGGUUCAGGUUUUCAUUCGAUUAAUCCUGCAAUUAAGUUUAUCUUUCGGUUUUCCUUAUAAUUAGUCUUACACAUAGAAAGUUCCUUCAGCGGAAGAAUUCUGAUUAUAUAAUGUCUGAAAAUCAAAUGUCAUUUUUUUAAAUAUGCAGAUCACUCUCCAUUCAUUACCGAGUUUCUUUAUUUAGGGUAUUGUUGGAAGGUCUUAAUGUAACUAAUAUGAAGAUUUUAGCGAAUGGCGUAUAUAGUACAUCUGUCCAUGUACUUCUGUAUAUUGGUGUUCAGAUCCCAUGAAAUCAACUUUUUCAAUACGUACUAACUUUCACAUAUGCGUUGCUCUUAAUAUAUCUUUUAAACUGAUCAUAAAGAAAUUGAUUUUAAGAUUUGCUUAUAUUUUUAUAAGUGAAUUAGUCUGAUGUAGCUAUGUUUUUAAUAUCUUCAGAUCAUAAAGAGAUCUUGGAAGAAAGGUUGGCAUACCUCUUGGGAAAGAGCCAUUGUAAAAUGGUUUGAGCUGAAAACUGGCGUUAUAGUGGUAUCCAUCCCUUGGUAGUCUCUAGAAUUUCAUAACUUUUGCUAAGGAAGUAGAGGCAAGUAUCGAAUGAUGGAGAUACAACAGUGAGUGGUAUCUCCUCACUUGCAAUAACAACCCGAAUUGUGAGUCUACAGAUCUGGGCUUUGAAUGGACUUCUCUUGACCACAGAUGUUUCUGGCUUAUUUUAUGUGUCAUUUUGUCCCAAGUGCAGGUAAUUUUGAAAACUUUUUCUUCCGCAGUAAGAAGUGAUAAAAAAAAUAAUGCAUGGACUAUAUGGUGCAAGCAUUAACACCAUCUUUUUAGCAUGACUACAUUGUCCUUGGAAUUUCUAUUGUUCCUAAACAGUUUGUGUUACUUUUAUAAUAACCCGAGCAAUGAAUAUUGCGAAUUGUCUUUGUACU